rnacentral:lncRNA from 1 species
AUGGCUGAAGUUGGUGAGGUUUUACGAGAAACGAAAGAUAGUGUUUGUUUGAACAAAGUUGUUGCCAAUCUUGCAGAGUUCGAGAAGAAAGAUCACGAAGCGAAUGCCACCGAUUUCUUCAUCAUUGUAGCCUCCAUAGUUGAAGUUUCCUCAUUUGAAGCUGUUUAUGCAUAUGCUUUUUCCCUUCUCAAGUACAGGAAAUUGAAGAAUUAACCAGAUGUGAUAUGCUGAAAGAGGGAAGUUUUCUUCCUUGAAUGUGACCUUUGUGAUUUGUCUUGAAGGGAUAGGGUGAUCACUGGCAAGAACCCUAUCAAGGUAGAUUUUAUGAUGUUAACAUAUUAUUAAGCAUUUUGUUACAUCAGCAAUGAUGCUUUCAUAGCAUGAAAGUGUUUAAAUUUAACUGAAUGAUCUUGAUUGAUCAAUUAUGAGUUUUAAUCGAGUAAAAACUAAAUACAAUAAUCGUUAACAAAUAUUGAAAUUGGGUAAAUAAGAUCUUGAUAGUGAAGAAUUUGAAAUCACACCCACACAGGAAAUCACCCUUCGCGUGGGGAUGGAGAUGUUUACUGCAGCGAUAUUGAAUAUGUCCACUGCUGGACUAAUUCUGAUUACCUAAUUGACUCAGGAUCGGCUGGCAAUAAUAACAGUUUAUUAACAAUGCACAGUCCGAGUACUUUUCCAGGAUCAGAUACGACGUGGUCUAAUGUUGAUAAUAAUAGAUUAUCAAAUGACAAAUCGUUGUUCUACUAUUGCAAGCCCCCAGAUUUAAGAAUCUUUUUCAGAAAUUAAAUACAUUCUGAGAGAUGCUGGUCUACUAUUGCAAGCCCCCAGAUUUAAGAAUCUUUUGACGGUAAUUUAUCACCUGUAACUGUGCCGGAAGAUUCAACUAGCACUGAAAAAGAUGAUAAAUUAAUUGAUAUGGAGAGUUUUCAUAUCACUUUUAAAUCAUCUUAUGUAAUUGUGAUGUUAGGAAGCAUUAGUGAUCUAUAUGUGAAUUAUUAUUGGCGCCAUUGGUGGUUUUAUCUUGUUAAAAUAUGGAUGAAUUCCAGUUACUAUUUUGUUGCAGACAAUCUUCUUCAAUUAACAUAUGGUUUAAAAUCAUUAUGUAAAUCAAUCUAUUAAUUUUCAAGAUAUUUAACUGAGUUAAAACUAAGUGCACUCAAUAAAUCUCUUUUCCUUUAAAAAACUGUUACGCUUUGAUUUUAGUGCUUAAUAUUUAUUGAACUCCGAUACAGGGAAUUUGAAAUCAAACUCGUAACUACAUAUUAUCUAAUUGCAAGUUUCUAUCCAUAGCUGCUGAUUUGUAGUGAUUAUCUAAUUGACUGAGGUGACGACAAUUUUUUUUUUUUAAAUUUUCAAUAGCACAAUGUGGAAUUCAAUAAUUAAAUUCUCCUUUUUAAUUUGUUUCCAGUUAAAUUAUUAAUUACUUAAACUCUGUUUUAAGUCUUUAAGUUUAUGUGUUUAUGCAGAAUUGGAUUCUUGAGCGUGUUGGACACGACCAACAAUGAAAUUGACAGUAAAAAAAACAAUACAACGUGUGGACUCCGGUAGAUGCCAUACAAGUCUACAACUUUACAAAUAAUAAUUGAGUAAGCAACUUUGAUUCUCGGGGCCCUUCAAUGAAUUUCUAGCCCCGUUGACUCCGCCAACUAAAGUUUGUAAAAUAAAAAAAUACAUAGAAUUCCACUAAAUGCAAAACGCGUGGAAUUUAAUUUUCGGCCAUGUGGACCAAAACAUAAUUUAAUGAAAAAGGAAAAAAAUGAUAAGAUUUCUAAAAUAUGUGAAAGAUGAUCCAUAUUUUACUGAAACGACUUAUUAAAUUUUUCAAAGAUUUAGAAUAUUUAGUCAUAAAUUACGUGCAUGUUAAUUUUUCCGCCAUUGACUAUCAUAUUCUAAACUUAAUAGUACAUUUCUUGUUGAAGGGUACUUAAUCUCUCUUCUCCUCUUAUAAAAAUUAUAUUGAUGGAUUUCUUGUUAUAGUUAAUAGUCUUUAAGAACGGAUAACUUUAUUGUUUUCGUGACCAAAUUAUGUCCGCCUAAGGUUGUGACUAUUAAUAAAAUUAAUAUUUAAUGUUUAUGUUAAAAGAUAUAAGAUUUUAUGCGUUCAUUAAUUGUUAUUAGCUAAAGGAUGAAUUAUUUUUUCAACCCAAUCAGUUGAUGCAUCUGCAAGAGUUUUUUUCUUUUAUUGACCAUAAUUAUGUUCCGGGUACAAUAAAUUGUCUUUGGUGCUUGGAAAAUAUGACUUCUUACUUCAAGUUUGAUAUGUCUCUCUCCAUAAACUUACUGGAAAUAUAUCCUCAUCUACUGUCAUUUAUCUAAUAUCAAUUGAAGAUCUCACUUUUUCAAACUAUCACUUCCAAGUCUCAUUGUCACUUGGCCAUUCUUGGACCAUUCAAAACCAAUCAAGUGUUGAAAUAAUCAAAUAUAUGCAAAAUUAGAGUCACGAUUUUUGGUCCCCCAAAUUCUAAUUAUAUAACUUCUAUAUAUUUCAUUGCCAGGUCACGAACUUGUUGGCACAUUUUCCAAAUUCCUCUUCCAUCAGCUCUCACACGUUAACUUAAGUGAAAAGUUUCCAAGUUGAUUGCUAGAAAGCAACGCAAAAUCAGACACACUUGAUCUGUCCCCUAAUUCUCUUUUCUACGUUGAAAAAGAAAAAAAAAAAUAAAAUACAUACAUACAUAUAUAUAUAUAUAUAUAUAUAUAUAUAUAUAUAUAUAUAUAUAUAUAUCUAUGUAAAAAUAAAUAAUAAACUGAGUAAAAGUACAUUUGUUUAAUUAACAUCUGAUCGGGGCAUUUUUGGUGUAAGCCACAACUAAAAUCAAACAGCCCCUUAGCAUACUUCUUCCAUUUUAUCGGCUACUUUUGUGGAUCUUAUAGGGUGGGCAUGUGGACAGAAUUUAAAAGUUUUAAUAGGCUCAAAGAAGAAGAUGUGUUAAAUCUAAAGUUGUUGCACCUUCUGAUUAAAUAAAGUUGUACAAUUUCAUCAACUUGAAAGAAUUGACAUUAAUGAACUGGUCGCCUCUCCAUGUAUGAAGCCUUCUUAAAAGUUAAUUUUUAUUUCAGAAAAAAAAAGUUUAAGUUACAUAUAUUACAGUAAGAUUUUUUGAGACCAAUUCCCUUCUUGAAAUAAUAAUAGAAAAGUAUUAAUUUAAAAAUAAAAUGAAUAUGUAUUGAUUAUAUCCUGAUUUUCAUCGAUUAUAGUUAGAGUUUCACCAAAUCAAUUCCCUUAUUCAAAUAAUACAGAAAAAAUAGUAAUUUAAUAGUAAAAUAAACAGGUGUUGAUUAUAUAUCCUAAGUUUCAUCGAUUAUGUGAUCAAAGUGGCAUUGUUGAUUUAUUUUUUGUUCAAUGUUAAUUUUUAGGUUAUAUAAAUUUCAAGGAUUUAAAAUCUUUGGCCAUGAAUUACACGCUUGUUAAUUUUCCUGCCAUUGACUGUCAUAUUCUAGACUUAAUGAUACCUUUCUUGAUCAAGGGUAAUUACUCUCUCUUCUCCUCUUAUAAAUUCCUCUUCCAUUAACAUCACUAGGAGUAUGUUGAUCUCUCAGACGUUAACUUGAGUGGAGAGUUUCCAAAUUGAUUGUUACAAAACAACACAAAAACUAGACACACUUGAUCUGUCUAAUAAUUCUCUUUCGGUAAAAUUAAAUAAUUUUAGGGGAAUAUUCGGCCAACCUCUAUAAUUUCAUAGUGAUCAUUAAUUAAUUAAUCGAUACAAAUAUCUAAAGUGAUUAAAUGUGACUUGAAAUUUGAUCUCUAUCGAUUGGUUUACAAAUGGACGUACUUGUGCCUUUGUGGCGAUAAUCGAACAAGUACCCAUGAUUAUUAUUUUUUCCAAAAACUUUUUUACAACAAAUUCAUCUCGUCAAAAAUUCUAUGUUGCUAACUAACAAUAAUUGAGCACUUGGCCGCAUUGACUCCACGUCUCCACCUCUUUCUAAAUUCUAAGUAAAAACAUGGAAAUGUAAUUUCCACAAAAUGCCAAAUGUGUGGAAUUUAAUUUUUUGCCUUGUGGAUCAAAAUACAAAUGAAAGAAACAGAAGAAAAAAAAGGCCCAAAGACUUCUAAAAGAUGAAGAAGUCUUUGUGCCUUUUUAUAAUGGUGAAUUUUUUUAAAGAAAAAAAAUAACAACAUUUUUAUGGUUUGUUUUGAUAAUCAUAUUUACAUAUACUCUCUAAUUUCAAAAUGGACACAUAAAUCUUUUUUUUUUACAAAAUAUAUAUUAUUCAUAUUUUUUUUAUUUUUUUAUUAUCAUAUUUUUAUUUAUUAUAAAUGUUUAGAGCAAAUUUUUAGGUUGAAAUAUAAUAAAAAGGUAUAAUUGUUCUCUUAUUAAACACACAUACUUUUAUUAGUUUCUAUCCAUUUGUCAUCUCAAUCUCUCUCAAUUAUUCUUUAUUGCUAGCUCAAAACGCGUUGCUGUUGCAAAUUAUAGCAAAAUGACAAAUAUGGAAAAAAAGGGAAGAAAAUUAAUGCAUGAAAGACUUGGAGAAAACAACAAAAUAAGCCAACUAUGAGCUAGUUGGGUGUAUAAAUUGUUAGAUGUGUUAUAUACAAAUAGCGUAGAGCCCUCUAGUUGGUUCCAGAGACAGAAAGAGCGUGUGUGUUUUUUCACAGUUAGAGAUAUAGUUAGAAUGGGUGGUUCAAAAUCAAAAAUGAUGAUAAUGUUUAUUAUGUUAUUAAUAAUAUUUAAAAGUGGGUGGAGUGAGGGAUGUUUGGAUCACGAGAGAUUUGCUUUUUUGAGACUCAAACAUUUCUUCAAUGAUCCUCUUAAUUCUCUUUACGACUGGGUAGAUGGUGAGGGAGCUACUGAUUGUUGUCAGUGGGAAAGGGUUGAGUGCAGCAACACCACAGGCCGAGUGAUAGCACUGGACCUUUCUUAUAUAUAUUCGGAGAGUACAGCUGGUAUCUGAAUGCUUCUUUAUUUACUCCCUUCCAACAACUUGAGUCACUUGAUUUAACUCAAAACAAAAUAGCCGGAUGUGUUGAGAAUGAAGGUACUUUGUUUAAUUUAAUUAAUUUACUUUCUCCCCCCUAAUUUAAGUUGAAUAUCAAGACCGAGCAAUUAUAUGCAUAUUCAUUUAGUCGACAAUUUUGACUUUUUUUUAAAUGAUUAAUUUUGAAAUUACACCAGUAUCUAUGAUCUUUUUUAUUUUAUUUUAUUUGCAGGUAUAGAGAGGCUAUCAAGAUUGAACAACUUGAAGAUGCUUAAUUUAAGUCGAAACUCAUUCAAUAAUAACAUUUUAUCAUCUCUAACUCAUCUUUCAUCAUUAAGAUCAUUAAAUUUAUUGUGGAAUAGAUUGGAAGGAAGUAUUGACGUUAAAGGUACAUAAUUAAAACUUCAAGCUCUUUCAUUAACUUGCUAAAAUAAGAUUCAAGGCUUUGAAUUCAAUUUUUUUUAUGAUUAAUAUUAAAAAAAACAGUUUUAAGCAAUUUAUAAAUACAAGUUUUAAUGUUUCUUGUAAUUUCAUCUUGUACUUUCAUAUGUCUUGAAUUUAAGAUUAAAAAAAAAAACUCUAAUAGCGAACCAAACACCUCCACAACUUAUUAUUAUUAUUUUAAUUUGUGGUGAGGUUUGAAACAUUCAACUCAAUUUGUACUUAUUACAGAAUUUGAUUCUUUGAGAGAUUUAGAGGAGCUAGACAUUGGCGGGAACAAGAUUGACAAAUUUGUGGUCUCAAAAGGUACUACAAAUACCAUAAAAAAAUAUGCUAACUUUUACAAAUUAGUUAGAUUCUUUGCCAUUUGGUUUAUUAUUUUACAGGUUUGAGUAAGUUGAAGUCUCUUGGUUUAAGUGGUAUCAAACUCAAUCGUAGCAUCUUAUCUUCUCUUUCUUCGUUAAGAGAAUUAGAUAUAAGUCGUACGGGAUUCAAAGGAACAUUUGAUGUUCGAGGUAAGCCUAAACCUUGCUUUCUCAUUUUAUAUAUGCCAACUAGAUUUGUGUAUCAUCGACAUAAUUUAAUAUUUAAUUUGAUAAGUCUGAAUGAAUUACAUGCUAAUUUAAACACACUUUUAUUUACUUUGUCAAUUAAUUAAUUAAUUAAUUACUAUUUGGCUUGGUUUGGACGAAAUUCUCAUGAUGUUUUUAAUUUCUUUAAAUUAAUUAAUUAAUUAACUCUGUUUUUAAGUCUUAAGUCUGGGCAUGUUUGCAGAAUUGAUUCCUUCAAUAACUUAGAAGUGUUGGACAUGAGUUGGAACGAAAUCGACAAUCUUGUGGUUCCUCACGGUAAACAAUUAAAAUGUUAUUCAAUUACAUUAUUUUAAUUCAUUUGAUUAGGGAAGGCCAAAAAGGUAAAAAAAAUAAUAAUAAAGAAACAGAGAAUUUGUAUUAUUUAAAAAACAGAAUGUAAUAAAGAUUUUGAUUCUGGUUCUUUAAUCUUUAAAGUGAUUGAAAACAAUGUUGCUCUUUUCCCAAAGCAUCAAAUACGAAUUGAAUGCCAAUUAACUUAAUCAUUCAUUUCGUUUAGCUCUAAAUUUAGACAAUGAAUUUUUAUAUUAUUUCAAAAACAUGACGUAAUAGAAUUUUUUUAAAAACAGAUUCUAAUAAAGAUUUGAUUCCAAUUCUUUAAUCUUUACAGUGAUUGAAAAACGAUACUACUCUUUUCCCAAAGCAUAAAUACGAAUUGACUCCCAAUCAAAUUAAUCAUUUAUUUCGUUCAUCUCUGAAUUUAAAUAAUGAAUUUUGAUCUUCAAUCGUAUUAUAAUUACUAUUAAAGAACAGGUUACAGAGGUUUGAGGAAGUUGAAUCAUCUUGAUCUAUCGGGAGUUGGAAUUAGAGAUGGAAGCAAGUUGUUACAGUCAAUGGGAUCAUUCCCAUCCCUCAACACUCUUUACCUUUCGUGGAAUAAUUUUAUCGAUACAGCGACCGCUACUCAAGGUAAGUAAAAGGUACAAAUGUGGCCAAAUUUAUAAAUAAAUUGUUAAUUAAUUAAUUUUUCCGUAUUAUUAAUUAAGCUAAAUUUGUUGCUCCUUCCUUCUAAAUCUAAACAGAGUUGCACAAUUUCACCAACUUGGAAUAUUUGACAUUGGACUUUUCCUCUCUCCAUAUAAGCCUUCUCCCAAAGCAUUGCAUCAUUAUUCCCUUCGUUAAAAAAUCUGUCGAUAUCUCAUUGUGAAGUCAAUGGUGUCCUACGCGGUCAAGGUAAAAGAAAAUCGUUGAUUGUGAACUCACUCAAUGGUGUCCUACGUGUUCAACAUUUUUAUUUAUUUAUUGUUUAAUGUUUCUGCUAGGUUUUCCUCAUUUCAAGAGUUUGGAACAUUUGGAUAUGGAUUACACGCGCAUUGCACUCAACACCGGCUUUCUUCAAAUCAUCGGUGAAUCGAUGCCUUCUCUUAAGUACUUAUCACUGUCAAGGUUAAUCUAUAAAUCGAUGCCUUCUCUUGAUCAAGGUUAAUCAGAUGCUCCCACUCUCCCCUCUUAAUCUAUAAUAUUAAUUUUCAAUUCAAUAUUUAAUUACACAAACGAAUCACUUAUUAUAAAAGAAUAAUACGCAUUCAUUAAUUUUUAUAUUGUAUUAAUAAUUGAUGAAUUUAAUAACUUUUCAGGUCUCUGUUCGUUGGUGCAUCUGCAAGUGUUGAACAUUGCAGGCAAUGAUUUAAGAGGUAGCUUGCCUUGGUGCUUGGCAAAUAUGACAUCCCUCCGAAUAUUAGAUGUUUCUUCCAAUCAACUUACUGGAAGCAUCUCCUCAUCUCCCCUCGUUCAUUUGACAUCCAUUGAAGAGCUGAUGCUUUCAGACAAUCACUUCCAGAUCCCAAUUUCACUUGAACCAUUUUUCAAUCACUCACGACUCAAGAUUUUCCAUGCUUACAACAACGAAAUAAAUGCAGAAAUAACUGAGUCACAUUCUUUGACUGCCCAAACUUCCAAUUAAAAUAUCUCUCAUUGUCUUCCGGUUACGGAGAUGGUGUCACAUUCCCCAAAUUCCUUUACCAUCAACAUGAUCUGGAGACUGUUGACCUCUCACAUAUAAACAUGAGGGAGAAUUUCCAAAUUGGUUGUUGGAAAACAACACAAACUUAGAAAUAUUUUUUGGUUAAUGAUUCUCUUGCAGGACCUUUCCGGUUGCCAAUUCAUUCACACAAGCGGUUAAGACUGUUGGAUAUAUCCAACAACAACAUCAGAGGCCACAUUCCAGAAAUUGGAGAUGUUUUACCGGGUUUAUUUUCUUUAAACAUUUUCAUGAAUGCUUUAGACGGUUGCAUUCCCUCUUCAUUUGGUAAUAUGAAAUUCCUCCAAUUUNNNNNUUAAUUAAUUAANNNNNGAUGGGAAAUUGAAACAAGAAUUUGAGAAUUGGAAAUCGAAAACGUCCGCAUUGACCGUGCCUUUGAGGGCAAUUACUUUUCUUGAGAAUUGAAGUUUGGUAAUGUAAUUUGUUCUCCAUCUGUGUUCCCUUUGUAGUCAUUUCAUUUAUUUGUUUGUUUGCUUUUAUUUGCAGGAGAAAUUGAUCCUCGAGAUAAAAGUAAAUUGUCUUUAAGCUCAUUUAGUUUUAUAUCAAACAAAAUCAAGACUGCCUUUUUCUUCAAUAGUUUUGAUGAUUAUCUUUAGAAGCAUCUCAUUGACAGGUAAUCGUGGUACCCCUUAAAGAGUCUAUAAACUCAAGGAUAUUAUCUUCUGCAAAUGGUUCAUUAAACUUCUUAGAUGUAGUUAAAUGUACACUGAGAACAACGAGAAGCUAUGCCACUGUAGCAAUGUAUGAUGGCACUUAAUGAGUGAGUUGCUAGGAUAUGAACUAGAAAAAUUAAACAUUGUCUCCCUGGGUAUGCUAGCUUGUAAGUCGGUUAAUAUUAGAGCUUGAGAUACUAUAACCAUGAGAAGCUAUUGACCGCCGAUUAAAAUAUCCAUUAAAAUGUCUAGGGAGUUAUGAAGGUGGAGGUGUCUCCCAAUUUCUAAGGCCAUAUAGUAGACAUCAUCCAGGAUCCUAUUUAAAGUGCAGUUAGCCUCCUGCUUGAUGCUAAUGUCAAACAAUUAAUAAAUUUGGUCAAUGUAACUGAAACUUGCUAACUGACGUCAGAUUGCGACUUGAGCACCUUAAAAUGGGAUAGACGAUUAGUAGCACUGAAUUCUUCUUGCCUAAGAUUGAGCAAUUGUUCUAACUACAAUCUCCUAUUGUAGGUUGAUUAUUAUGUUCUAAUUAUGUCGAUUUUGACCCAAAAAAAUUACAUAAUCUUGAUCUGCAUAAUGUCACUGAACAGUGUCAAUUUCGUUUACCAACUAACUUGAGUUUGAUAUAACAAACACACGGUGUGUCUCUCAUGUCUCACCAUGAUGGAAUUUUUCUAAUGCAUGAAGCAAGCUUCGAUAUGUGGGUUAGCUUGGAGAAGAUAUCUUAAAAUGAAGAAUAUGGGAGUUAAUGGGAAGAAACAGUUCAGUAGUUUAUAAUUCUGUCGUCGAGCUGUAUCUCUAACAUGGUCAAAAUUUAUGUGAAUAAGGACAGGGAAUCUUCAUUCCUCUUUCCCUUUUUAUACCCACAUAUCUCUCAACCUUUAUAUGUUGCUCACUGGAGAUCUGCUUCUGAUAACUAAAAUAAAAAUUUCAUCCACUCAAAUAAAUUCUGACCAAGCUUUCACAAGAAAAAGUAACAUCUUUAGUGAAGUAAUUUACAAGUAAUUUAGAGUUCCUUAUCAUCUUCUUGUGAGUCUAUCAGUAUGAUCCAAAAACAUAAUAAAUCUUGUUAGAUCCUGUUUAUUGAUGUUUAAACGCUGCUCAUUGUGAAAUGUAGAAACAAUGACGUGAAGUUUCUUUGGUCAUCAAUUAGUGAGAUCUUGUUUGAAGUUGUUUUCUGAAAUGAACUGCCAAAUGAUAGUUUUUUUUUUUUUUUCUUUGGACGCAUUUGAUGGCUCUUUCUCCUCAUUUAAGCAAUGUGCCUGCUUGGUAUGGGAAGGAAUAGGCUUCAGAGUUGUUAUAUAUGUUGACAUGCUCUGGUCAUUACACAAUAUGUUCAAAUUGGAAAUUAGAAUGAGAUAUUUGUCGAUGCUUUUUGAGAGAUCUGCAUUCUAUGCAGCAUAACAUGAUUAAUGAAAAUGGGUUUAAGGACUGGAAAGAUCUGUGGCAGCCCAAGCUUGCAGGAAGGAUUUCAAUGGUUAAUUCUCCCAGAGAGGUUAUUGGUACAGUUUUGAAGUAUAUGGGAGCAUCAUACAAUUCAAACGCAUUAAUUAGCAAGUUGCUGCUGGGAGGAUUGCUGUUCAGCAGAAUCUGGCAUUACUGGGAAACCAGGUACUCUUAAAGAAACGAUAGCUGGUCAAUGCAUAUUAUUUGCCUGACGGCUGAUUUUGUUUGUAAAGUGUGCCUUUUCAUACAUAUGAAUGCAUAUGUUAGUGUUGUCUUCUUCUUUCCAUAAAUAUGAAUGCAUAUGUUGGUGUUCUUUUCUGAGAUGGAUGCAAUAAAGGCUUUUUCUUCUAAAUGACGAGUUUUCAUUUAAAAAUGUUAUAAAUCUGCCAUGCAUAGUAUUCUAGUAGAAUCAUCUAUAAAUUCAAGUUAUUGAAAUUGUCUAUUUGUCCAGUUUGAGUUAAGGACGCAUGUAAUAUGAAAAAUAGUUGUCGAAUAUUGUAGGUUAGCUAAUAUUUGAUCAAUCCUAUAGGGAGGGCUUUAAGAUGUCUAACAACAUGUAGAAUGCCCCUGCUUCCCCCACAAUUUUUAUCUUAUACAAUUUUUAUCUAUAAACAGUAUUUGCCAGACCUUAACUGUUCAGAUUCCCCUUCUCGACUAUCAUACCCUACGCCCCGUCUCCGUGUCUCCGAUAAACAGUGCUCAAUUAAGGCCAUCAGAUUAUCCCGGUCCCACAUUGAUCAACGGCUCACAAUGACCGACAACCUCUGUCUCCAUUACAAGCUCCCUCUUCAACUCGCUUCUGCUUCCAUCCUACUCUUUCUCAGAUUCGGAGCCCGUAUAUGCUCGGCUGGUCCCACGAAGCUCCCUCUCACUCCAGCUGUCAACCGACAAGACCAAUUGCCUUAUCAAGACAGAGAAAAAAAGAGGAUGAGAAAUUGAAACAAGAAUUUGAGAAUUGGAAAUCGAAAACGUACUCAUUGACCGUGCCUUUGAGAGUUGUUUCUCUUCAGAAUUCAGUGCCUCAAUCUUGGGUUAAGGAUUUUAUGCGAAGUCAAGGAAAGUGAUUGAAGUUUCAGAUGAAUUUGUGUGCUAGCAUUGGUGGGAUCUUUAACAAUUUAUCUGCCCUUUAACAAAGUCAAGGCUAAUUCAGCUUCUUAUAUGGCUGCUGAUUUGGUUAGUGUUGGUGAUUCAUGGCUUAGUUUUGCCAUUAAAGAGAGAUUGAUUGAGCCAAUGGCUGGAGCUGAAGACCAAGAUUGGUUCAAAUGCUUAAGUCACAAAUGGAAGGUAACAUCUUUAUCUUUGGCCCGAUAAUUUUUAUUGUCUUACAUUGAAAUUUGGUAAUGUAAUUUGUUCUCUAUCUGUAUUACCCUUUUUAGUCGUUUUAUUUAUUUGUUUAUUUGCUUUUAUUUGCACUAACGAAGUCUCAGGUAUAUCUAUGCAGAAUGAUGCAGGAGAAAUUGAUCCUCGAUGUGAAAUAUGGGCGGCACCAUACAGGUGGGGCACAAUGGUGAUAGCCUACAAGAAAAGUAAAUUUCGAAAGCAUAAUUUGGCUCCGAUUGAGGUAAUAAUUGUCUUUAAACUCAUUUAGUUUUAUAUCAAACAAAAUCAAGACUGCCUUUCUCUUCAAUAUUUUUGAUGAUAAUAUCUUUAGAAGCAUCUUAUUGAUGGGUAAUAAUUGUAUCCCUGAAACAGUCUAUAAACUCAAUGAUAUUAUCUUCUACAAAUGGCUCAUUAAACUUUGUCGUUGUAGUCAAAUGUACACUCAGAGCAAUGACAAGCUAUGCCACUGUGUAGCAUGUAGUGAUGGCACUUAAUAAGUGAGUUGCUAGGAUGUGAACUAGAAAAAUUAAAUAUUGUCUCCCUGGGCAUGCUAGCUCAUAAGUCAGGGUUAAUAUUAGAACUCAAGAUACUAUAACCAUGAGAAGCUAUUGACUGCCAAUUAAAAUAUCCUUUAAAAUGUCUAGGAAGUUAUGAAGGUGGAAGUAUCUUCCGAUUUCUGAGGCCACAUGGUAGAUAUCAUCCAGGAUCCUAGUACAGUGCAGUUAACCUCCUGCUUGAUGCAAUUAAUAAAUUUGGUCAAUGCCACUGAAACAUGCUAACUGACGUCGCAAUGCGACAUGAGCACUUCAAAAUGGGACAGACGGUCGGUAGCACUAAAUUUUUCUUGCCUAAGAUUGAGCAAUUGGUCUAACUACUAACCCCUUUUGUAGUUGAUCAUUAUUUUUUCAAUUAUUUUCAGUUUGACCCAAAACGUUACAGAAUCUUGAUCUGAAUAUUGUCACUGAACAUUGUCACUGAACAUUGUCAAUGUCGUUUAGCGUAGCCAACUAACUUGAGUUUGGUAAAACAACACACAGUGUGUCUCAUGUCUCACAAUUCAAAUUAUCAUUUGUAAUGAUGAGAAUUUUUCCAAUGUAUGAAGUAUGCUUUGAUACGUGGGUUACCUUGGGGAAGGUAUCUCAAAAUAAAGAAUAUGGGGAGAAAACAGUUCAGUAGUUUAUUAUUAUGUAGUCAAGUUUUGUCUCAAAAAUGGUCCAAAUUUAAAUGAAUAAGGAGGGGAUCUUCAUUCUUUUUUCCCUUUUUUAUACCUAGAUAUCUCUCAACCUUUAUAUAAUCCCCACUGGAUAUCUGCUUCUAAUAAUUAAAAUAAAAAUUUCACCCACACAAAUAAAUACUGACCAAGCUCUAACAUAUAAAAGUAACUUCUUUAGUCAAGUGAUUUACAGUUCCUCAUCACCUUAGUGAGACUAUCAGUGUGUUCCAAAAACAUAAUAAAAUUGGUUUGUUCCUGUUUAUUGAUGUUUAAAUGUUGUUCAUUGUGACAUAGAAAUGAUGAGGCGAAGUUUAUUUGGUCAUCAAUUUGUAGAUCUUGUUUGAAGUUGCUUUCUGAAAUGAACUGCCAAAUGGUAGUUUCUUUGGGGCAUUUGAUGGCUCUUUUUUCCUCAUUUUAAACAUGUGCCUGCUUGGAACAGGAAGGAUUAGGCUGCAGAGUUGUUAUAUAUUUUGACAUGCUCUAGUCAUUGCACAAUUUGUUCACACUGGAAACUAGAAUGAGAAAUUUGUUGCAUUCUAUGCACAAUAACAUGAUUAAUGAAAAUGGAUUGUAGGACUGGAAAGAUCUGUGGCAGCCUGAGCUCGCAGGACGAAUUUCAAUGGUUAAUUCUCCCUGAGGUUAUUGGUUUAGUUUUGAAGUAUAUGGGAGCAUCAUACAAUUCAAACGAUAUUGAUUCAAGUUGCUGGUGGGAAGAUUGCUGCUGCUCAGCAGAAUCUGGCAUUACUGGCAAACCAGGUACUCUCAAAGAAAUAUCUUUGCAUGUUAUUACCUGACAACUGAUUUUGUUUGUAAAAGUCUGCUUCUUCAUACAUAUGAAUGCAUAUGUUAGUGUUUCUUCUCCUUUUCAUACAUAUGAAUGCAUAUGUUGCUUCUUUUCCUUUCCAUACAUAUUAAUACAUAUGUUGGUGUUCUCUCCUGAGAUGGAUGCAAUAAAGGUUUUUCUGAAGAAAUGGCAAGGGAUGUGAGAUUCUGUCUCAUAAAAUUAACAAAAACCCAAAACAAUGAAAACCCAUAAUAAUGUGGUGUGGGUAAAUUGACGCCAUUUGGUUCGUUUCCUUGAUGUGAAUACGCGGGCAAUAGAGACUAACAAAAUGAAGUGACAACAAGAAGUCAGUGUCCUUUGAUGGAUGCAUUUUUAGGCAGAAAUAGGUUUGUAAUUGACCAAAUUUGUCUGGCAUGCCAAUUUCAAAAAAAUUAAAUUAUGUGGUUAUUAGCUGUAAUGAAGGGGGAUUGUAGGUCCAAUCAGGUGGAUCCAUGAAAGUUCAACAAAGUUCUGGUAUGGCGUAGAAAUUGGUUUGUGGCAACUCAAGAGUCUUUCUGGUGAACGAUGAUGGGUUUGAUUUAUAAAUGUUAUAAAUCUACUGUGCAUAGUAUUCUAGUAGAAUCAUCUAUAAGUUCUAGUUAUUGAAAUUGUCUACCUUGUUCAGUUUGAGUUAAGGGCACAUGUAAUAUGAAAAAUAGUUGUUGCAUCUUUUAGGUUACCUAACAUUUGAUCAAUCCUAUUAUGAGGGCUUCAAGAUGUCUAACAAUAUGUGGAAUGCCCAUGCUCCUCCCCAUUGUUUAUCUUAUAUAAUAAUUUGUUUUAGAUGCUAAUAUCUUUGUCGAUACGGUAACAAUAUUACAAUAUCUGCGUUUAUUGGGUUUUACAUAGGUUCGACUGUUUGACAGUACACACUCUCUGAAGGCAUUUGGAAAUGGAAUGUAUGGAUUGCUGUUGGGUGGAGUAGUGAUGUUCUUCCUGCUGUCAAACGUAUGUCUAAUGUUGCAGUUGUUGUUCCCAGUCUGGUGCUAGCUUAUGGGCUGAUCUUUGGGUAUACCCAUGCCUGCCAUUCUACUUCAAUAUUCACAUUGUUAUCUCCUUCAUAUUAGUGAUCAGUAACACGAUAAUGUGACUAAUAAGUUCGUAUUCUCUUUAUAGGCAAUCCCUGCUGCCUCAAGACUGAAACAAAACAAAUUGGAGGCGAGUCAGAGGUGCAUUUCCAUUAAUCCAUCAAUGGAUAGAAUUCUGCUUGCAAACAGCGAGAGCAUUGCCUUUCAAGCAAGAGGUUAUCCCGAGCGCAUCUCCCUCUGCCCUUGAGAGUACUCUGGUUAAGUUGCCUGAAGAACUUUUGAAGGGUAAACCAAGUCUGGAUACUAACUUAAUUGCUGAGUACCCUGACGGAAAUUCUGGCCAGAUGUGAGUUUUUGGAGCCAUUAUCUGAAGCUACAUUGUCGGAUUAUGAGUGGCUGGUUGCUAAUCUGCAAAAAUCCACUCCUGUACUGAUCAACAAGAUGCAACAUUACAUGUCAUCAUUGAUCUUUAGCUAAAGGUACAUUGAAAAGUUAAUGGCACUGCAUACCAGUCAUUAUAAUUGGGUCAGGCAAUUGGGUCAGGGCAAUUGGGUCAGGGCAAUUAGGUCAGAGCAUAACUUCAUUAGGAAAAGAGGCUUCAGCUACGUUAAAUAUUACAGGAUGUACUGAUGGCUGAAGUUGUUGACGUUGUACGAGAAACGAAAGAUGAGUGUUUGUUUUGAACAAAGUUGUUGCCAAUCUUGCAGAGUUCGAGAAGAAAGAUCACGAAGCAAAUGCCACCGAUUUCUUCAUCACUGUAGCCUCCAUAGUUGAAGUUUCCUCAUUUGAAGCUGUUUAUGCAUAUGCUUUUUCCCUUCUCAAGUACAGGAAAUUGAAGAAUUAACCAGAUGUGAUAUGCUGAAAGAGGGAAGUUUCUCCCUUGAAUGUGGCCUUGUGAUUUGUCUUGAAGGAAUAGGAUGAUCACUGGCAAGAACCCUAUCAAGGUAGAUUUUAUGAUGUUAACAUAUUAUUAAGCAUUUUGUUACAUCAGCAAUGAUGCUUUCAUAGCAUGAAAGUGUUUAAAUUUAACUGAAUGAUCUUGAUUGAUCAAUUAUGAGUUUUAAUCGAGUAAAAACUAAAUACAAUAAUCGUUAACAAAUAUUGAAAUUGG